CUCUAAAAAUAGUAGUAGAUAUCACAGCAAAAUUUGUUUAUGGUAACUCUGAAAAUAGUAAGCACAAAAAAGUUAUCGACUAUCGUAAAGCGCAAACCGGUUUGCGUAUCACUAUUAGUUGGUAUUUUUUAACUGAGUGGCGUCGGAAAAGAGCUGUGCUUUGUGCUACGAAUUUUUUAUUUUAACCUCAACCAAUGGAUAGAUACUUGACGAAGCGAUCGGUUGAAGAAAUUUUGCAUGGAAGUAGCGCCAGUGAUUCUGAUUGUGAAAUACAUUCAAAAUUGUAUAUGUAGGUAUGUACAUGAUACAAGUAUUUAAAGAGCAACUACAACGCUGAAA